GCCGUUGGCCAUAGCACCCUGAACACGCCCAGUCUUGUCUGAUCUUGGAAACUCAGCAGGGCUGGGCCCAGUUUGUACUUGGAUGAAAGAUGGCCUGGAAAUACUGGGUGCUGUAGCAC